UUCAAAAUGCUUGAUAUUUUAUUUAUUUUAAAUAAGUAUUUAAAAAAAAUUAUAUCUCAUAUUUACUUUUUGAUUUUUUAUAGCCAAAUAUCCAUUUAUCGUCAUUCCACCUUUAAGUCAUAAAAUAAAUUUUAUAUUAUUUUUUAUCUCUACACUCAAAUUUCUCAUACCCUCCAAUUUCUCGUAUCCCCUACCCCAUACUAUUCUCUCUCCCUCGUCUUUCACCUUCAUCCUACUAUUCGAACUCUUCGACGAAGCAUCAGAAUUAGAGUUUUCCAACAAAGAUUCUGCUUUGACCUCACUAUCACCGAAGACUGCUUCAGAAUUAGAAUUUUUCAGCAAAGAAUUACUGAUGUUACUUCAACUUCACCCCCACUGCUGAGCAACUUGAAUUUUCUUGAACUCCGUCAAGCCUUCUAGGAUCUCAAAUUCAAGUCGCACAAACUUUGGAUAUCAAUGGAAAACUCCGUCCCGCAUGCUACAAUUCCAAGAAAAACUACUUUAUAAGCAAGGAAAGUUGCAAUCUUUAUCUAUUUCGAAGUUUCAAAACGAGUGAAUUCUAUUUUUUUAAAUAGAAGCUAAAAGAGUCAGAAUAUAAUCACAUAUAAAUUGUAAAAAAUAUAUUUUUUGAAGCGCACCUGAGGAUAUUAUGGUAACAGGAGCAGUAGCAUUUCGAGUCAGAAUCGUGGCCCUCUCGACGAGACGACAUUAGGGUUGUUCUUGAACAAAAAUAACGGAGUAUGAGGCUGAGUAACUUAAAUUUUUUAUUAAUAUAUUUCAAUGUAUCUUGCCGUAUUUCCCUGUAUUUCAUUCUAUUUAUUAUCUUUUUUUUUCAUUGCAUUUCAGUGUAUUUAGCUAUAUUCCAUGUAUUUCAUUGUAUUCAUUGUCUCGUCAUAUUUCAUGAAUGUAUUCGUAUAUUUUUUUAAUUAAUAUAAUUUAUGUAUUCAGAUGUAUAUAUUUAUUCAAAUUAUUUUGUUUUUUGCUGUAUUUAUCGG
rnacentral:lncRNA from 1 species